GAGAGACCCCUACGAUCCCAGGACACUGAUGUGGGGUAACUAACACCCACUGGAAGUCUACGCUGAGUUCACAGGCUAUGUAUGACCUGACAUGCAUUUUGACCUGCCCUGUGUUUUGAUAUUUGAAUGAGUUGCUGAUGUUUACAAGCCGAAGCUGGCCGGGCGUGGUGGCUCGCGCCUGUAAUCCCAGCACUUUGGGAGGUCGAGGCAGGAGGAUCGCUUCAGAGUCAGAGGUUCCGGUUGAGAUCAAGUUGGGAGACACACCCUUGUUCAUUCUCCUUGAGAAGCAGCUAUUAUCAACAGAACAUUGACAGAACCUGUGUUUGGGGAAAGGACUGAUGGCUUUGAGUCUAGGUUGGAAAGCACACAGGAACCACUGUGGUCUCCUCUUGCAGGCUCUGCGAAGCAGUGGUCUUCUCUUGUUUCCCUGUGGCCAGUGUCCCUGGAGAGGAGCUGGAAGCUUUUUGGACCCUGAGAUAAAGGCUUUCCUGGAGGAGAACACUGAAGUCACCAGCAGUGGUAGCCUCACCCCUGAAAUCCAGUUGCGGCUUUUG
rnacentral:lncRNA from 1 species